AAUGAACGUUGGCGGCGUGGAUUAGGCAUGCAAGUCGUGCGGAAAGGCUCUUCGGGAGUACUCGAGCGGCGAAAGGGAGAGUAACGCGUGGAUAUCUACCCCCUGGUCUGGGAUAGCGGCGGGAAACUGCCGGUAAUACCAGAUAAUGUCUGCGGACCAAAGGUGUGAUUCCGCCGGGGGAUGAGUCCGCGUCCUAUUAGCUAGUUGGUGGGGUAAUGGCCUACCAAGGCGAAGAUGGGUACCGGGUGUGAGAGCAUGGCCCGGCUCACUGGGACUGAGACACUGCCCAGACACCUACGGGUGGCUGCAGUCGAGAAUCUUCGGCAAUGGGCGCAAGCCUGACCGAGCGACGCCGCGUGCGGGAUGAAGGCCUUCGGGUUGUAAACCGCUGUCAGAGGGGAGGAAAUGCAUGGUAGUUAUCUUCCAUGCUUGACCUAUCCUCAGAGGAAGUACGGGCUAAGUUCGUG
rnacentral:rRNA from 1 species